UACGAAGGGGGCUAGCGUUGCUCGGAAUCACUGGGCGUAAAGGGUGCGUAGGCGGGUCUUUUAAGUCAGGGGUGAAAUCCUGGAGCUCAACUCCAGAACUGCCUUUGAUACUGAAGAUCUUGAGUUCGGGAGAGGUGAGUGGAACUGCGAGUGUAGAGGUGAAAUUCGUAGAUAUUCGCAAGAACACCAGUGGCGAAGGCGGCUCACUGGUCCAUUACUGACGCUGAGGUGCGAAAGC
rnacentral:rRNA from 1 species